rnacentral:rRNA from 1 species
AUUGAACGCUGGCGGCAUGCCUUACACAUGCAAGUCGAACGGUAACAGGUUAAGCUGACGAGUGGCGAACGGGUGAGUAAUAUAUCGGAACGUGCCCAGUCGUGGGGGAUAACGUAGCGAAAGCUACGCUAAUACCGCAUACGAUCUACGGAUGAAGGCGGGGGAUCGGAAGACCUCGCAAGACGGGAGCGGCCGGUAUCAGAAUAGGUUGUUGGUGAGGUAAAAGCUCACCAAGCCUGCGAUCUGUAGCUGGUCUGAGUGGACGACCAGCCACACUGGAACUGAGACACGGUCCUGACUCCUACGGGAGGCAGCAGUGGGGAAUUUUGGACAAUGGACGCAAGUCUGAUCCAGCAAUGCCGCGUGCAGGACGAAGGCCUUCGGGUUGUAAACUGCUUUUGUACGGAACGAAACGGUGAGCUCUAAUACAGUUUGCUAAUGACGGUACCGUAAGAAUAAGCACCGGCUAACUACGUGCCAGCCGCCGCAGUAA